rnacentral:rRNA from 1 species
GAUCCUGGCUCAGGACGAACGCUGGCGGCGCGCCUAACACAUGCAAGUCGAACGGAGAUUACAGGCGGAAGUUUUCGGAUGGAAGCUUGUAAACUUAGUGGCGGACGGGUGAGUAACACGUGAGCAACCUGCCUAUCAGAGGGGGGAUAAACGGAUUGGAAACGAUCGCUAAUACCGCAUGACAUAGCGGAACCGCAUGGUUCUGUUAUCAAAGAUUUUAUCGCUGAUAGAUGGGCUCGCG